rnacentral:rRNA from 1 species
GGAUUGACCUGUCCGGAUUUUAUUGGCGUAAGGCUCGUAGUGGUGAUCGCGUCGAGUGUAUCUGGCCUACCUGAGCGUGCUCGAUACGGGUGACUUGAGAAGUAGGGGAGAUGAAUUCUGGUGGAGCGGUGGAAUGCGCAGAUAUCAGGAGGAACACCAGUGGCGAAGGCGGUUCUCUGGGCCUUUCCUGACGCUGAGGAGCGAAAGCGUGGGGAGCGAACAGGCUUAGAUACCCUGGUAGUCCACGCUGUAAACGGUGGGUACUAGGUGUGGGGUCCAUUCCACGGGUUCCGUGCCGUAGCUAACGCUUUAAGUACCCCGCCUGGGGAGUACGGCCGCAAGGCUAAAACUCAAAGGAAUUGACGGGGCCCCGCACAAGCGGCGGAGCAUGCGGAUUAAUUCGAUGCAACGCGUAGAACCUUACCUGGGUUUGACAUGGAUCGGGAGUGCUCAGAGAUGGGUGUGCCUCUUUUGGGGUCGGUUCACAGGUGGUGCAUGGCUGUCGUCAGCUCGUGUCGUGAGAUGUUGGGUUAAGUCCCGCAACGAGCGCAACCCUUGUUCACUGUUGCCAGCACGUUAUGGUGGGGACUCAGUGGAGACCGCCGGGGUCAACUCGGAGGGAGGUGGGGAUGACGUCAAGUCAUCAUGCCCCUUAUGUCCAGGGCUUCACGCAUGCUACAAUGGCUGGUACAGAGAGUGGCGAGCCUGUGAGGGUGAGCGAAUCUCGGAAAGCCGGUCUCAGUUCGGAUUGGGGUCUGCAACUCGACCUCAUGAAGUCGGAGUCGCUAGUAAUCGCAGAUCAGCAACGCUGCGGUGAGUACGUUCCCGGGGCUUGCACUCACCGCCCGUC